rnacentral:rRNA from 1 species
UACGUAGGGGGCAAGCGUUGUCCGGAAUCAUUGGGCGUAAAGCGCGUGUAGGCGGUUCGGUAAGUCGGCUGUGAAAGUCCAGGGCUCAACCCUGGGAUGCCGGUCGAUACUGCCGGACUAGAGUUCGGAAGAGGCGAGUGGAAUUCCCGGUGUAGCGGUGAAAUGCGCAGAUAUCGGGAGGAACACCAAUGGCGAAGGCAGCUCGCUGGGACGUUACUGACGCUGAGACGCGAAAGCGUGGGGAGCGAUCCGG